GACGAACGCUGGCGGCGUGCUUAACACAUGCAAGUCGAGCGAGGCCCCUCCUUCGGGAGGGUGUCCUAGCGACGAACGGGUGAGUAACACGUGGGCAACCUGCCCUCAGCUCUGGGAUAACUCCGGGAAACCGGGGCUAAUACCGGAUACGACCUCCACGGGCAUCUGCGGAGGUGGAAAGUUUUUCGGCUGAGGAUGGGCCCGCGGCCUAUCAGCUAGUUGGUGGGGUAGUGGCCCACCAAGGCGACGACGGGUAGCCGGCCUGAGAGGGCGACCGGCCACACUGGGACUGAGACACGGCCCAGACUCCUACGGGAGGCAGCAGUGGGGAAUAUUGCGCAAUGGGCGAAAGCCUGACGCAGCGACGCCGCGUGAGGGACGAAGGCCUUCGGGUUGUAAACCUCUUUCAGCAGGGACGAAGCGAAAGUGACGGUACCUGCAGAAGAAGCACCGGCCAACUACGUG
rnacentral:rRNA from 1 species